CUCCCCCGCGAGCCCUCUGUCUCUCCAUCCUUUCCAGAUCCGAUCGAGGCACCACCUCCACCCAUCGCUGACGCCCCACCCACCGCCGAGCCCCUCAUCCUUCCGUCGCUGCCCUGCGAAUGGGGAUCUGCCUCUGCAUCCCCGCCUCCUGCCGCACCUCCGGCUCCGACCCCAUUAUCCCAUGGUACCUCCCGCCGCGACGGAGAUUGCAUCCACGUGCGCCAACACUCGAUCCGCAGGGGCGCCUGAUGUGGAGCUGCCCCGGAGCAGCGGAUCGGGGCCUUCUUCCUAACCUCACUCUUUCACAGCCUCGUCCUCCUCCAGGACCGCCCUGCCACAGCGGCGGAGGACCCGAAUCCCUCUUCAUCAGCAUCGAGUUCAGGCAGCCAUAGAUCCAUGGCGCUGGGCCACACCGACGUGGACAUGAAGAUCUCCAAGACCGGGUGGCCGUCCAGGGGCGACCCCGACGAGGCGGGCGCCACACCGUAAUACGCGGGGAUCUACAUCAGGAACGUGCUGUGGAGGAUAGAGAUGAAGCAAGGGACUCCGCUGCUUGCUUUGCUUCCUCGAGCAGACUCAUUUUCGACCCUGCCCCUCUCGUCGCACGGCACUUCUGCUGACCGAUUCUCUCGCGGAGCCCAGGUGCGCCGCCGCCCGCUCCUCCAGGAGGCGGCGCAUGCUAUCUUCCGCCUGUCGAUUCUCCCAUGGAGUUCAGGUUUUUUCAAGAUACGUGGGCUUGGGACAGGUCGGUAACAAUAAGAAAUUCAUAUUUAGUUGCAGGCCCCUAGCGAUAAUGGUGUUGUUGCUUCUUCAUGUGUUGUUGUUGCGUCUCUGCACUUUGCAUUUUGAGCUGAUCGACUACAGACGUUGACCUUCAUUCAUGUUUUGUGGCGAGCUCUAGGACGAAGAAGUCAGAAGAAGCAUAGUCUUUGGCUCAUUGGAGCUAGUUAUAAUUUGUUAGAUAGCUCUAGUUAGAUAUUUUAGUUGUGUUUUUGGUUGCUGGAAAGCGCUUGUAUAGUAUGUUUGGUUAUAAACCUGAUGUGAACUAUGUUUGAUUGUAAUCUACCAAAUUUGGCAGUUUUCUUUGUUUGAAUUCUUAAUUA